GCCGAAGGCAAGUCCUGGAUUUAAAGGGACUGCGCCCUCCAGGGGCAGACGAGAAGGAAGUGACCUGUGAAGUUUGUAGCGAAAUUGGACCACUAAGCUCUUUUUUUUUUUUUUUUUUUUUGCACUGGAAGGAAUUUAGAAAUCACUGGGCCUGGUCCUAGUCAUCCACUAUUUUCAGAAGCUCAGAGAGACUGCGCCAAUUGUUCGACUUCACACCGUGCUCCUCCUGCUCUCAGGCAAUCUUCCAGAGUUGAGAAAAGGCCGGCUGACACUUGCAAAACAGGGCUUCUCAAAAGGAAAUGUGCAUAGGAGUUACCCGAAGAUCUUGUUAAAGUGCAGAUUCUGAACAGCAGGUCUGGGGACGGACCUGAGAACCUGCAGCUCUAACCAGCUCCUGGGUGCUGCCCAGCUGCUGCUCCGGGCGCGCUGGCGGGAGAAGAAAUGUCUUCUGUUCCCUGGAUCCGCGCAUUGCACCCGCCUUCCCAGCGAGGCCUCCGCCCAGAGCCGCCCCUUCCCCAGUCCCGAGCGAGGUGCAGUCCCGUCGAGACGGCCCGGAACAAACGCUACCCAGCCACCUAUGAUGGUGUUGGAGAAGACUCUUGAGAGUCCCUUGGACUGCAAGGAGAUCCAACCAGUCCAUUCUGAAGGAGAUCAGCCCUGGGAUUUCUUUUGGAAGGAAUGAUGCUAAAGCUGAAACUCCAGUACUUUGGCCACCUCAUGCGAAGAGUUGACUCAUUGGAAAAGACUCUGAUGCUGGGAGGGAUUGGGAGCAGGAGGAGAAGGGGAUGACAGAGGAUGAGAUGGCUGGGUGGCAUCACUGACUCGAUGGAUGUGAAUCUGAGUGAACUCUGGGAGUUGGUGAUGGACAGGGAGGCCUGGCAUGCUGCGAUUCAUGGGGUCGCAAAGAGUCGGACACGACUGAGCGACUGAACUGAAC
ensembl:lncRNA